ACGAGUUAGGGUCUUCUAGGCCCGACCUCCCAACCCUAUGUUUACUGUACCAACGUUGCUUCGGUGGGUCCGUCUAACGACCGCCGGGGGAUCGCCGCGAGGCCCCCCUGGCCAGUGCCCGCAGAUAGCCAAAUUUAAACCCUUAUGAAUCGUGUCUUAUGUCUAAAUCAUGAUUAAAAAUCAAAACA
rnacentral:misc_RNA from 1 species